rnacentral:rRNA from 1 species
GCCAUGCCGCGUGAGUGAUGAAGGCCUUCGGGUUGUAAAACUCUUUCGACGGGGACGAUAAUGACGGUACCCGUAGAAGAAGCUCCGGCUAACUUCGUGCCAGCAGCCGCGGUAAUACGAAGGGGGCUAGCGUUGUUCGGAAUUACUGGGCGUAAAGCGCGCGCAGGCGGUCUUCCAAGUCAGUGGUGAAAGCCCGGAGCUCAACUCCGGAACUGCCAUUGAAACUGUUAGACUUGAGGACGAGAGAGGUGAGUGGAAUUCCCAGUGUAGAGGUGAAAUUCGUAGAUAUUGGGAAGAACACCAGUGGCGAAGGCGGCUCACUGGCUCGUUUCUGACGCUCAGGCGCGAUAGCGUGGGGAUCAAACAGGAUUAGAUACCCUGGUAGUCCACGCCGUAAACGAUGGAUGCUAGCCGUUGGGCAGCUUGCUGUUCAGUGGCGCAGCUAACGCAUUAAGCAUCCCGCCUGGGGAGUACGGCCGCAAGGUUGAAACUCAAAGGAAUUGACGGGGGCCCGCACAAGCGGUGGAGCAUGUGGUUUAAUUCGACGCAACGCGCAGAACCUUACCAGGGUUUGACAUCCUACGACCGCUCCCUAAUAGGAGUUUUCCCGCAAGGGACGUA